AGAGUUUGAUCCUGGCUCAGGACGGACGCUGGCGGCGUGCGUAAUACAUGCAAGUCGAGCGAGCGGAACCAACAGAUUUACUUCGGUAAUGACGUUGGGAAAGCGAGCGGCGGAUGGGUGAGUAACACGUGGGGAACCUGCCCCUAAGUCUGGGAUACCAUUUGGAAACAGGUGCUAAUACCGGAUAAUAAAGCAGAUCGCAUGAUCAGCUUUUGAAAGGCGGCGUAAGCUGUCGCUAAGGGAUGGCCCCGCGGUGCAUUAGCUAGUUGGUAAGGUAACGGCUUACCAAGGCGACGAUGCAUAGCCGAGUUGAGAGACUGAUCGGCCACAUUGGGACUGAGACACGGCCCAAACUCCUACGGGAGGCAGCAGUAGGGAAUCUUCCACAAUGGACGCAAGUCUGAUGGAGCAACGCCGCGUGAGUGAAGAAGGUUUUCGGAUCGUAAAGCUCUGUUGUUGGUGAAGAAGGAUAGAGGUAGUAACUGGCCUUUAUUUGACGGUAAUCAACCAGAAAGUCACGGCUAACUACGUGCCAGCAGCCGCGGUAAUACGUAGGUGGCAAGCGUUGUCCGGAUUUAUUGGGCGUAAAGCGAGCGCAGGCGGAAAAAUAAGUCUAAUGUGAAAGCCCUCGGCUUAACCGAGGAACUGCAUCGGAAACUGUUUUUCUUGAGUGCAGAAGAGGAGAGUGGAACUCCAUGUGUAGCGGUGGAAUGCGUAGAUAUAUGGAAGAACACCAGUGGCGAAGGCGGCUCUCUGGUCUGCAACUGACGCUGAGGCUCGAAAGCAUGGGUAGCGAACAGGAUUAGAUACCCUGGUAGUCCAUGCCGUAAACGAUGAGUGCUAAGUGUUGGGAGGUUUCCGCCUCUCAG
rnacentral:rRNA from 1 species